GACGAACGCUGGCGGCGUGCUUAACACAUGCAAGUCGAGCGGUAAGGCCCUUUCGGGGGUACACGAGCGGCGAACGGGUGAGUAACACGUGGGUGACCUGCCCUUAGCUCUGGGAUAAGCCUGGGAAACUGGGUCUAAUACCGGAUAUGACUCCAUAACGCAUGUUGUGGGGUGAAAGCCUUGUGCGGCUAGGGAUGGGCCCGCGGCCUAUCAGCUUGUUGGUGGGGUGAUGGCCUACCAAGGCGACGACGGGUAGCCGGCCUGAGAGGCGACCGGCCACACUGGGACUGAGACACGGCCCAGACUCUAC
rnacentral:rRNA from 1 species